UGGGGAAUAUUGCACAAUGGGCGAAAGCCUGAUGCAGCAACGCCGCGUGAGGGACGACGGCCUUCGGGUUGUAAACCUCUUUUAGCAAGGAAGAAGCGAAAGUGACGGUACUUGCAGAAAAAGCGCCGGCUAACUACGUGCCAGCAGCCGCGGUAAUACGUAGGGCGCAAGCGUUAUCCNGGAAUUAUUGGGCGUAAAGAGCUCGUAGGCGGUUUGUCGCGUCUGCUGUGAAAAACCCGAGGCUCAACCUCGGGCCUGCAGUGGGUACGGGCAGACUAGAGUGCGGUAGGGGAGAUUGGAACUCCUGGUGUAGCGGUGGAAUGCGCAGAUAUCAGGAAGAACACCGAUGGCGAAGGCAGAUCUCUGGGCCGUAACUGACGCUGAGGAGCGAAAAGGGUGGGGAGCAAACAGGCUUAGAUACCCUGGUAGUCCACCCCCGUAAACGUUGGGAACUAGUUGUGGGGUCCAUUCCACGGAUUCCGUGACGCAGCUAACGCAUUAAGUUCCCCGCCUGGGGAGUACGGCCGCAAGGCUAAAACUUAAAUGAAUUGACGGGGUCAUAGCUGUUUCCU
rnacentral:rRNA from 1 species